rnacentral:ribozyme from 1 species
CAAAAAAUUCACUGACAGUGGAAAGGUCAUGAAGUAAAAGCUUACAUGGUGCGUAAUUGCUACACAAUAAAGAUAAACUGACAAUCAA